rnacentral:rRNA from 1 species
ACGGGGUGCAGCAGGCGCGAAAACUCCACAAUGUACGACAGUACGAUGGGGUUAUCUCGAGUGCAGUCCGAUAAGGGCUGCUUUUCCAUAGAGUAAUAUCCUGUGGGAAUAAGAGGGGGGCAAGACUGGUGUCAGCCGCCGCGGUAACACCAGCCCCUCGAGUGGUGGGGACUAUUAUUUGGCCUAAAGCGUCGCAUGCUGGCUGUAUCCGUCCCCCGUUAAAUCCAGCGUCCUAAGCGUUGGACUGCGGGUGAUACCAUACAGCUAGAGGGUGGGAUAGGUGAGCAGUAUUUCUGGGGUAGGGGCGAAAUCCUUUGAUCCCAGGAGGACCACCAGUGGCGAAGGCUGCUCACUAGAACACGCCUGACGGUCAGGGACGAAAGCUGGGGCAGCGAACCGGAUUAGAUACCCGGGUAGUCCCAGCUGUAAACGAUGCCAGCUAGGUGUUGGGUCGGCCACGCGCCGCCCCAGUGCCGCAGGGAAGCCGUUAAGCUGGCCGCCUGGGGAGUACGGCCGCAAGGCUGAAACUUAAAGGAAUUGGCGGGGGAGCAC